AUUGAACGCUGGCGGCAGGCCUAACACAUGCAAGUCGAGCGGAUGAAGGGAGCUUGCUCCUGGAUUCAGCGGCGGACGGGUGAGUAAUGCCUAGGAAUCUGCCUGGUAGUGGGGGAUAACGUCCGGAAACGGGCGCUAAUACCGCAUACGUCCUGAGGGAGAAAGUGGGGGUUCUUCGGACCUCACGCUAUCAGAUGAGCCUAGGUCGGAUUAGCUAGUUGGUGGGGUAAAGGCCUACCAAGGCGACGAUCCGUAACUGGUCUGAGAGGAUGAUCAGUCACACUGGAACUGAGACACGGUCCAGACUCCUACGGGAGGCAGCAGUGGGGAAUAUUGGACGAUGGGCGAAAGCCUGAUCCAGCCAUGCCGCGUGUGUGAAGCAGGUCUUCGGAUUGUAAAGCACUUUAAGUUGGGAGGAAGGGCAGUAAGUUAAUACCUUGCUGUUUUGACGUUACCAACAGAAUAAGCACCGGCUAACUUCGUG
rnacentral:rRNA from 1 species